GGGGGUGUGAGAGCAUGGCCCCCCACAAUGGGACUGAGACACGGNCCAUACUCCUACGGGAGGCAGCAGCGGGGAAUAUUGCGCAAUGGACGGAAGUCAGACGCAGCGACGCCGCGUGGGUGAGGAAGGCCUUCGGGUUGUAAAGCCCUUUUCAGGUGAGCGAGAAAGGACGGUACCCUUGGAAUAAGCGUCGGCUAACUACGUGCCAGCAGCCGCGGUAAGACGUAGGACGCAAGCGUUAUCCGGAUUUACUGGGCGUAAAGCGCCUGUAUGCGGUCAAGUAAGUCGGAUGUGAAAGCCCCGUGCUCAACGCGGGGAAGCCAUUCGAUACUGCGUGACUAGAGAACGGCAGAGGGAAACGGAAUUUCUGGUGUAGCGGUAAAAUGCGCAGAGAUCAGAAAGAACACCGAUGGCGAAGGCAGUUUCCUAGGCCGCAUCUGACGCUGAGAGGCGAAAGCUAGGGGAGCAAACAGGAUUAGAGACCCUGGUAGUCCUAGCUGUAAACGAUGGAUGCUAGGUGUGGGCCGGAAAGGUCCGUGCCGUAGUUAACGCGAUAAGCAUCCCGCCUGGGGAGUACGGCCGCAAGGCUAAAACUCAAACGAAUUGGCGGGGACCCGCACAAGCAGCGGAGCGUGUGGUUUAAUUCGAUGCUACACGCAGAACCUUACCUGGGCUUGACAUGUAGGUGGUAGUGAAGUGAAAGCGGAGCGACCCUUCGGGGAGCCUACACAGGUGCUGCAUGGCUGUCGUCAGCUCGUGCCGUGAGGUGUCGGGUUAAGUCCCGUAACGAGCGCAACCCUUGUCCUUAGUUACAAGUGUCUAAGGAGACUGCCGGUGACAAACCGGAGGAAGGUGGGGAUGACGUCAAGUCAGCAUGGCCCUUAUGUCCAGGGCGACACACACGCUACAAUGGUCGGGUACAAUGGGCAGCGCAGCCCGCGAGGGUGAAGCGAAUCCCAACAAAGCCGAUCCCAGUUCGGAUUGCAGGCUGCAACCCGCCUGCAUGAAGCCGGAGUUGCUAGUAACCGCGCGUCAGCCAUAGUGCGGUGAUACGUUCCCGGGUCUUGUACACACCGCCCGUCACGUCAUGGGAGUUGG
rnacentral:rRNA from 1 species